rnacentral:sRNA from 1 species
GUCGGGUGUGGUGGCGCACGCCUGUGAUCCCAGUGGCUUGGGUGGCUGAGGCAGGAGGAUCGCGAGUUCAGAGCCAGCCCCAGCCACAGCAUCUCCGUUUCCCACCUGUUCUUCUUUUUGUUUCUUUGGUGCCAGGGACUGAGCCUGGGGUGCUGAGGCCGGCCUGGAACUUGUUAUCCUCCUGCCUCGG